UACGGAGGAUGCGAGCGUUAUCCGGAUUUAUUGGGUUUAAAGGGAGCGUAGACGGGAUGUUAAGUCAGCUGUGAAAGUUUGGGGCUCAACCUUAAAAUUGCAGUUGAAACUGGCAUUCUUGAGUGCGGCAGAGGCAGGCGGAAUUCGUGGUGUAGCGGUGAAAUGCUUAGAUAUCACGAAGAACUCCGAUUGCGAAGGCAGCUUGCUAAACUGUAACUGACGUUCAUGCUCGAAAGUGUGGGUAUCAAACAGG
rnacentral:rRNA from 1 species